ensembl:processed_transcript AY512915 cDNA sequence AY512915
ACAUUAGCUCCUGAGCAACUUGGAGAGGCUGGACCCUGGGGUAUGUCUACGAAGGAGAAACCAUGCAGUGUCCUUCUACCCUGUCAGGCCUGGAACUGUGAAUGGACCGAAGACCAGUGGGGCCUUCAGCUACUGGCCUGGACUCUUGGAAGCAAACUUGUUUUUCUGUGAUUCACCAGAAACUCUCAGGACGAGAAUAUCUCAGUCUUCCAAGGUUUGGCUUCAUUGAUCCACUAAGAAGCACGGUCCCAUGCCCAAGGGAAGCUCAUUAAAACAGGAAGUAAGCAAUUCAAAACAGUUUCAGGAAGUUCCUGAAACUGACCAGAUUCACGAAGAUCCUCCCUCUCCAAGAGUACAUAAAUAGUAAGGACCAUGGAGACUCACUGUCAAACAAGCUAAGAGGCCUGGAAAUCAUCAAUGAUGAGAAGAAAGCCUUUUCACUCCUCCAAGAUAUUGACUAAAGGAGGAGAGAUCAAUAGACUCACAGAAACUAGAAAAGAUUCUCGGGCAGCCGGAAUUGGCCAAUUUUGAACAGCUGUUCUCUGGACAUCUUAUUGUUAUCGUUCCACUGAUGUCCAUUGCAGGGAGUCGACAGUCAAGAUGUACAAAAGCCAUACAAUAAUAGUGAAUGAUAAUCACAGGCAACCUUCAAGUGCUCACUCUGUGUCAUACACACAGGAAGUGAGAUGAAGAGAUUAAGGAGUUAUCCAAGAUCACACAGCCUGAACAGUGAGGGACUCCAACCCCGGGACCUCAUUUCUGUUCACUGGUGUACAGAGUAUUUAAUGUAGAUGCUAAUUAACUGAGUCAAUGGUUUCCUAUUGCAAAGCUUCACAAUCGGCAGCAUCCUUUCAUAUACAAGGCAUUUUGAUUGGACAGCUUCCUCAAAUGAAUAGGCAAGCAUUGGUUGCUGUUUCCCCUUUCCUCUUUUUCUAGUUGGGGGUCAGAGAAUUAAAUAGUUAAAGGGCAAAGACUCAGACACAUCUAGUUUACUCAAGAGACUAUAGCAGUAUUUCAUUGACUACUUAUAUUCCUUUCUGAAUUGGGGAAAGGCAGACACACCCUGGAUUUUGUUUUCUUUGUUUUAUUUUGUUACUUUCCUACAGACAGGUAGACACACUUGAUUUUUUUUGAGGUUUUUGUUUCUUUGCUUGCUUCUGAAGAUGCAGACAUUAAAAUAUUUAGUUAUUUUAAUGUCCAAAUAGAAUAGGUAUGCAAAGGUUUAAUCUGUGGAAAGAAAAGACAUUCAAACAAAGUAGGAAGAUAAGAGGGAGCUGCAAAUCCCAAUGAGCUAUUACAUCAUACACAUUAGCAAGCUACAAUAAAACCUAGAAAGUAAUGAGUCUUGGCAAGGGUGUGGAGACUCUGAACCAUCUACACUCUUGGUUUCCAGUGAUACAGCUACUGUGGAAAAUAAUAUGCUAGUUCCUGGAAAGAUUAAACCAGAACCACCAUAGUAGCUGCUGCUUUCACAUCAUAGCUAGUUUUGUAUCUAUAACAAAAUGCCCAUGUAAUCAGCUCAAAGAAACAAACGAUUAUUUGUCCUCAGGUUUCACAGCUCUCCAGCCAUGGUUGGCUGGUCCUAUUGCUUAGGAACCUAUGGCAAAGCAGGGGUGUGUUGGUGCAGAUCUGCUUGCCUCAUGAUGCCCAAGAAGCAGAGAGUAAAUAGUAAGAAGGAGCAUGACAUACCCAAAGGUAUGGAUACUUGUUUGGCGUAUUCUAGAACUAUGAGAGCUAGUCCUCAGGGAGGAAGGUUUUAGAUCAGAUCCAGGUCAGUUCCUCCAGGUCCUGUGUCUUUGGUAAUAGGGACUUACUUUCUGCCUCUAGGAGGAAACCAAGGGCAGCAGCAAUAUCGGAUGUUUUGGGGAUCUCUUGGACUUUUAAUUCCUAAUUCAAGGAUUAGAUCAGAGUCCUCAUAAUCCACUCCCUCCUUAACAGUGCCACAGUUAGGGACUACGUCUUAACACAUAACAUUUGGAGGUACUUCAUGUCCAAACUACAGCCAGAUAACAUCUAAAAAAAAUUGAAGUUAGAGUCUUAAAGAGGGAUUUAUGUUUCCCUAUUCACAGUAGUACAACUUAUCAGGCACACUAGUAGUAGUCACCCCAGAGAUCAUUGAUGCCUGUGUUAGCUAAUUCUCUCCUUACUGACACUGAGACCAAAGACAGAAGUAACUUAAUGUCAGCUACAUGUUUUGAGUUAUGUUUUGAGAGGACAUGGUCCAUUAUGGAAGGGAAAUAAUGGUGGCAGGAACAUGAAGUAGCUGGUCACACUGUACCCACAGUCAGAAAGCAGAGAAAGUUAGAUGCUAUCUAUGUUCAGUCCUCUUUCUCCAUUUUCUCUGUCUGGGACCUUCUUGCUGGCUCAUUUGGUCUCAGCCUCGUCUGGGCAGGUCAGCAUAUCUGAGAGUCUUCUGAGCAGCUUCUCUGUCCUCUGCUUCUUCUAAGCUGUUUGGCUUCUCUGAGAGUGAUUCUCAGCAGUCUUGACCGUAGUAUUUCAGAUCUCCCUUAGACUAUUCCUGCUGUUUUGCCUCCCUAUUCAUACCCUAUGUGUUAGAGAGUUUCCCUCCAAGGAAGUUUUAAUUUCAAAAGAAACUGCUAUGCAAUACAUAGGAAGAUAGUCCUCUGUAUCCUGUCCCUGUGUGCUUCUAAGGAUGUUCUUCUUGGGAGUCAAGGGCUUGGUACCCUAAUGUAGCCAUGGAAAUAUUCUGCCAAAAUCUACAGUGGCAAUCAUUUGCUUGGUAUAUCUUUAUUAUAGCAAACUUGUUAACUUAGGAAAUAUUUCAGUCUUGAGAGAAGAAAGAAAACAUAUUUAUACUGGGGAAAAUAUUGUCUAUAAAACUGACUUCACUUUACUAGUAGGUGGUAGACUUUCUGGCUCCCCUUGUUUGUCCAUGUUAGACACACUAGGAUCAGCAGCUCCCCAAAGUAAAUGCAAGCUAAGGCCACCUGGAAAAUUAUCUGUUACAAUUUUUCUCCAUCAUUCAAAAUGGGACUUCAACAAAGGAGCUAGUUCUUCCAAUGACCCUCAUCUCUGUGCCUUUGUUCCAUGAUCUGUCCUUAGUGGCUCUUAUUCAACAUACCUCUCAGGACCAGGGAGAUGGCUCAGUUAGUAAGCACUUGACUUUAUUUUGUACUGGGAAGGUAGAGACAAGUAGAUCUCUUGAGACUCACUUGCAGCCAGCCUAGUUGAAUUGGUGAGUCCAAGGUCAGCAAGCAACUAUGUUCCCAAAAAGCGAAGUGGAGAGCAAUUAAGGAUGAUACCCAAGUCUGACUAAGUCUUGUCACUCACACACAUACAACACUAGCAUGUACACAUACGUGAAAAAAAUUCAAGCAGACACCUUUCAAACCUGACUCUACAAAGUCCUCAGUGUGCUGUGGUUGGUGUGUUUCCCCUCUCAUCACUGGGCUCAGGUUUACUCCUGAUUUACAAGGAGAGGUGCUUCCUACCACCUCCCCAGUCAACCACACUAGAUGGGUUUCACCAGUCUGUCUGCAGGUAGUGCCGCCUGCCCCAGGUUACAGUGGGAAAAUGACGCCUUGAUGUAUGUUUGCUGUGGCUUAUUGAUCUUAUUAACAUUAGCUCUUGGGAAAAUCAAUGCUUCGGUCUUGCAGGAGGUGUAUAAAUAAAAU